UUAGAUAUGGCACAGAACACCAAUUGCGAAGGCAGCAGACUAGGGUGCAACUGACGCUGAGGCACGAAAGUGCGGGGAUCAAACAGGAUUAGAUACCCUGGUAGUCCGCACAGUAAACGAUGAUUACUAGCUGUUAGCGAUAGACUGUUAGCGGCACAGCGAAAGCGUUAAGUAAUCCACCUGGGGAGUACGCCGGCAACGGUGAAACUCAAAGGAAUUGACGGGGGUCCGCACAAGC
rnacentral:rRNA from 14 species